rnacentral:rRNA from 1 species
AUUGAACGCUGGCGGCAGGCCUAACACAUGCAAGUCGAGCGAGCGGCGGACGGGUGAGUAAUGUCUGGGAAACUGCCUGAUGGAGGGGGAUAACUACUGGAAAAGGUAGCUCAUACCGCAUACCAUCAGAUGUGCCCAGAUGGGAUUAGCUAGUAGGUGGGGUAACGGCUCACCUAGGCGACGAUCCCUAGCUGGUCUGAGAGGAUGACAAGCACAACUGGAACUGAGACAGGGUCCAGACCCCUACGGGAGGCAGCAGUGGGAAAUAUUGCACAAUGGGCGCAAGCCUGAUGCAGCCAUGCCGCGUGUGUGAAGAAGGCCUUCGGUUUGUAAAGCACGUUCAGCGGGGAGGCGUUACCCGCAGAAGAAGCACCGGCUAACUCCGUGCCAGCAGCCGCGGUAAUAC